CUACAUGGUAUUGCCUGGAUGGAGAGCC
rnacentral:piRNA from 1 species